GCAUCGAUAGCUCAGUGGUAGAAUGCUCGCCUGCCACGCGGGCGGCCCCGGGUUCGAUUCCCGGCCGAUGCA